rnacentral:rRNA from 1 species
UUGGAUGGGCUCACGGCCUAUCAGCUUGUUGGUGAGGUAAUGGCUCACCAAGGCGACGACGGGUAGCCGGCCUGAGAGGGUGACCGGCCACACUGGGACUGAGACACGGCCCAGACUCCUACGGGAGGCAGCAGUGGGGAAUAUUGCACAAUGGGCGAAAGCCUGAUGCAGCGACGCCGCGUGAGGGAUGACGGCCUUCGGGUUGUAAACCUCUUUCAGCAGGGAAGAAGCCACAAGUGACGGUACCUGCAGAAGAAGCGCCGGCUAACUACGUGCCAGCAGCCGCGGUAAUACGUAGGGCGCAAGCGUUGUCCGGAAUUAUUGGGCGUAAAGAGCUCGUAGGCGGUUUGUCGCGUCUGCUGUGAAAGCCCGGGGCUUAACCCCGGGUGUGCAGUGGGUACGGGCAGACUAGAGUGCAGUAGGGGAGACUGGAAUUCCUGGUGUAGCGGUGGAAUGCGCAGAUAUCAGGAGGAACACCGAUGGCGAAGGCAGGUCUCUGGGCUGUUACUGACGCUGAGGAGCGAAAGCAUGGGGAGCGAACAGGAUUAGAUACCCUGGUAGUCCAUGCCGUAAACGUUGGGCACUAGGUGUGGGGGACAUUCCACGUUUUCCGCGCCGUAGCUAACGCAUUAAGUGCCCCGCCUGGGGAGUACGGCCGCAAGGCUAAAACUCAAAGGAAUUGACGGGGGCCCGCACAAGCGGCGGAGCAUGCGGAUUAAUUCGAUGCAACGCGAAGAACCUUACCAAGGCUUGACAUAUACCGGAUCGUUCCAGAGAUGGUUCUUCCCCUUUGGGGUCGGUAUACAGGUGGUGCAUGGUUGUCGUCAGCUCGUGUCGUGAGAUGUUGGGUUAAGUCCCGCAACGAGCGCAACCCUCGUUCCAUGUUGCCAGCACGUGAUGGUGGGGACUCAUGGGAGACUGCCGGGGUCAACUCGGAGGAAGGUGGGGAUGACGUCAAAUCAUCAUGCCCCUUAUGUCUUGGGCUUC